rnacentral:rRNA from 1 species
AUUGAACGCUGGCGGCAGGCCUAACACAUGCAAGUCGAACGCGAAAGUCCUUCGGGAUGAGUAGAGUGGCGGACGGGUGAGUAACGCGUAGGAAUCUGUCCGGUAGUGGGGGAUAACGUUCCGAAAGGAACGCUAAUACCGCAUACGCCCUACGGGGGAAAGGGGGGGAUCUUCGGACCUUCUGCUAUCGGGGGAGCCUGCGUCGGAUUAGCUAGUUGGUAGGGUAAAGGCCUACCAAGGCGACGAUCCGUAGCUGGUCUGAGAGGAUGAUCAGCCACACCGGAACUGAGACACGGUCCGGACUCCUACGGGAGGCAGCAGUGGGGAAUAUUGCGCAAUGGGCGAAAGCCUGACGCAGCCAUGCCGCGUGUGUGAAGAAGGCCUUCGGGUUGUAAAGCACUUUUAGUGGGGAGGAAAGGGCGCUGGCUAAUAUCCAGCGCAGUUGACGCUACCCACAG